rnacentral:rRNA from 1 species
AUUCCAGCUCCAAUAGCGUACAUUAAAGUUGUUGCAGUUAAAAAGCUCGUAGUUGGAUUUCUGGUGUCGCAGUGCUUCCGCGUGUUUAAUUACAUGUCGAGUUGUGUUUGCGUCGCCAUCUUUUAGCAGCACCUUCCUGGCAUUAGGUUGUUGGGUUGGUAAUGCUAAUCGUUUACUGUGAAGAAAUCAGAGUGUUUCAGGCAGGCUUUCGCUUGAAUACACCAGCGUGGAAUAAUGGAAUAGGACUGAGUCUCUUUAUUGGUUCAAAAGAUUCAGUAAUGAUUAAUAGGGACAGUUGGGGGCAUUCAUACUAAUGAGUCAGAGGUGAAAUUCUUCGAUUUCAUUAAGAUGAACUAAUGCGAAGGCAUUUGCCAAGGAUGUUUUCAUCA